UGGGAAACUGGGUCUAAUACCGGAUAUGACCUUACGUUGCAUGACGUUUGGUGGAAAGCUUUUGCGGUGUGGGAUGGGCCCGCGGCCUAUCAGCUUGUUGGUGGGGUAAUGGCCUACCAAGGCGACGACGGGUAGCCGACCUGAGAGGGUGAUCGGCCACACUGGGACUGAGACACGGCCCAGACUCCUACGGGAGGCAGCAGUGGGGAAUAUUGCACAAUGGGCGCAAGCCUGAUGCAGCGACGCCGCGUGAGGGAUGACGGCCUUCGGGUUGUAAACCUCUUUCAGCAGGGACGAAGCGCAAGUGACGGUACCUGGAGAAGAAGCACCGGCCAACUACGUGC
rnacentral:rRNA from 1 species